AUGUCACAAUCAGUGGAUUUGCCGGGGCGUCUAAUUUGGCUUUUAUACGUGAUAUUGUGCCGUUCGCCAGUAGCAAGCUCUCUUGACUUGAGAUCAUUUGACAUCAUACUGGCUUUUAAGGGAAUGGAGAGCAGAGUGGGUGUUUCAGGCACAACUCCCAACUACUUCCAAGGUGCAUAGGGAGAGGGAAAUAAGUCUAAAAUGGCCAAAACUCUAGCAACACUUGUAGUAUAUAGAACAACUUUAUUGUAAAACUGACGUGUUUCAGCUUGUGGCCUUCAUCAGUGUCAGUGGAAUGGAGAGCCUCAGAGUCUAAAAUGGAGGAAGUAGCUUAUUAGCUGUGUUGCACUAAACUACUUUUAACUUUUAUUUACCUUCUCUGUCCGCAUAUAAACUGCUCCACAAAAGUAGAAUAGUUCGAAGUCAGCUAUGAGACAAGAGUCAAAGGUACAAACAUGUCUAUUGAAUGAACAGUAAACUUAUUGUCAUGUUAGUGGCCGAGCUAACAAACUUGCUAAGUGGCAUUUAGCUUGCUAACAUUUAGCAAGCUGACUAGCUCAGAAAGGUUUAUUUAAUUCAGUAAAGAGUUAUUAUAGACAGGACACUGUAGAGAAAAUAAAAAGAAGUUUGGAAAGCAACAGUAUUAUGACUGACUGGCGCUUUUAGUCUGUCCCUCAAGUCUUUCUAAAUUCCCAACCCGUACUGUGGUACUUAGCCCUAAGCCAAUUCAUUACCUCACCUAUGAGAUGUGGGAUUGUUCUUUGUAAUGAAAGAACAUGUCGCCCACAACAGUGUAGCUCAUUUUAUAUAGAGCUCUUUAGUGAGGAGAAAUAAACUAAAUCAGGCGUUGGCUUCACAAGAAAUACAAUCAUUCAAUGUUGAUUUUAGUCUUCUCUUAGGAUUUGUUGACAACGAGAAAAUGAUACAGUAGAAUAUUGCCAGACAUAUCAUUUAAGUAAAAUUCAACACAGUUAAAACAAACAGAAAAAAAGUGAGUAAAGUCCAAACCGAUGGAGAGUUUCACAGUGAGACAUCAUGAAUGGCAAAACAAUCUGAAUCCAUAAUCUCACUCAUUACACGUUGUGUUUUUUAAGCAGGGGGUGACACUGACCCACUCUGAGACCCCCUCCCGUUGCAAUCCCCACGUUCCUUGUACUUUUGGACACGAUCGCUCCUUCCUCCACUUCAGCCUCCUCCUCCUCCUCCUCCUGCAUCUCCUCUCCCUGCAGCCUCUCGCUCCUCCACCGGUCUGGAGGGAGGGGGGUACAUGCCAGCAAGGAGAUCUCUGAUGGGUACUCACACACCUGCUCCAGCUGGUCCUCGUUGAAACACACCUUUCCCUGUAGACAUGAGUAAAGAGAGGAUUAUUUUACUUUUAAGUGGCUCCAGUCAAACAUGUUUUUUGAUUAGCUUUUCAUUA
rnacentral:lncRNA from 1 species